rnacentral:rRNA from 1 species
AGCAGCCGCGGUAAUUCCAGCUCCAAUAGCGUAUAUUAAAGUUGCUGCAGUUAAAAAGCUCGUAGUUGAAUUUCGGGACUAUCAUGUCGGUCGUGCCUCGGUACGUACUGGUAUUGUUGGUUUCUCCCUUCUGACGAACCAUGAUGUCAUUUAUUUGGUGUUGUGGGGAAUCAGGACUGUUACUUUGAAAAAAUUAGAGUGUUUAAAGCAGGCUCACGCUUGAAUACAUUAGCAUGGAAUAAUGAAAUAGGACGUUUGAUUCUAUUUUGUUGGUUUCUAGGAUCGACGUAAUGAUUAAUAGGGAUAGUUGGGGGCAUUAGUAUUCAAUUGUCAGGGGUGAAAUUCUUGGAUUUAUUGAAGACUAACUACUGCGAAAGCAUUUGCCAAGGAUGUUUUCAUUAAUCAAGAACGAAAGUUAGGGGAUCGAAGACGAUCAGAUACCGUCGUAGUCUUAACCAUAAACUAUGCCGACUAGGGAUCGGAUGAUGUUAAUUUUUAAUGACUCAUUCGGCGCCUUAAC